GAUGCUAAUACCGGAUAACAACAGAUGAUGCCUAUCAACUGUUUAAAAGAUGGUUCUGCUAUCACUCUUGGAUGGACCUGCGGUGCAUUAGCUAGUUGGUAGGGUAACGGCCUACCAAGGCGAUGAUGCAUAGCCGAGUUGAGAGACUGAUCGGCCACAUUGGGACUGAGACACGGCCCAAACUCCUACGGGAGGCAGCAGAU
rnacentral:rRNA from 1 species